GGCAGCACGGGAGCAAUCCUGGUGGCGAGUGGCGAACGGGUGAGUAAUACAUCGGAACGUGUCCUGUAGUGGGGGAUAGCCCGGCGAAAGCCGGAUUAAUACCGCAUACGCUCUGCGGAGGAAAGCGGGGGAUCCUUCGGGACCUCGCGCUACAGGGGCGGCCGAUGGCAGAUUAGCUAGUUGGUGGGGUAAAGGCCUACCAAGGCGACGAUCUGUAGCUGGUCUGAGAGGACGACCAGCCACACUGGGACUGAGACACGGCCCAGACUCCUACGGGAGGCAGCAGUGGGGAAUUUUGGACAAUGGGCGCAAGCCUGAUCCAGCAAUGCCGCGUGUGUGAAGAAGGCCUUCGGGUUGUAAAGCACUUUUGUCCGGAAAGAAAACCGCCUGGCUAAUAUCCGGGCGGGAUGACGGUACCGGAAGAAUAAGCACCGGCUAACUACGUGCCAGCAGCCGCGGUAAUACGUAGGGUGCAAGCGUUAAUCGGAAUUACUGGGCGUAAAGCGUGCGCAGGCGGUUCGCUAAGACAGAUGUG
rnacentral:rRNA from 1 species